GUAAAUAUAGUUUAACCAAAACAUUAGAUUGUGAGUCUAGUAUUAGAAGCAUGAAACUUCUUAUUUACC
rnacentral:tRNA from 1 species